rnacentral:lncRNA from 1 species
CAGCAACAAAGCUCUGCUCUAGCUGUCUUCACAAGUACACAAGAUCCAUCCAAAAACAGGCUGCUGCAUUGUUACCAGGUACACAUAUGCUCCAGACCUGUCGAAGUACAUCCAGGGGAAUGCCACAGAAAUGAUUCAAAGGAUGGAACACCUCCCUUAUGAGGACAUGCUAAGAGAGCUGGGGCUGUUCAGCCUGGAAAAGUCUCUGGAGCAAUGUGAGAACAGCCUUUCAGUAAAGAGAGGCUGUAAGAAGGGGAGAGACUCUUUUGCAGGGUCUGCUAUGACAGGACAAGGGGAAAUGGUUUCAAACUGAAAGAGGGGAGAUUAAGGCAGGAUAUAAGACUAAAUAUAAGUUUUAUAGAAUAGCUAGAAGUUUGCUGUAGUAAGGACAGUGAAGCACUGAAACAGCUUGCCCAGAGAGGUGGUGGAUGCCCUGUUCCUGGAGACAUUCAAGAGCAGGCUGCUCCUGCAGAUGCAUUUGGAGAGCAGAAUAGGUUUCCAGCUAUAGAAUGCAAUCGGGAACAGUCAGCAAUAUGGCAGUUCUGAGCUUACAAAGUGCCUUACCAGCAAGGCUUUUCACUACUCUGAGCCACUCCAGCAGAAAAUAAGGUAGUUUUUCCACCUCAUCUGUGCUCUCCUCAUUUCCUUUGGGAAGUCAGGUUUCCAUAGGAAACCAUGCUGUUGGAAGCUGAUUCUUCCAGAGGUCUAACACUAGCCUCUGUAAGUCAGGAAGGCAGCUUAGCAGGCCCACUGGGAAGUAGCAGAUGGAUAGGAAAAUGACAUGCUUUCCAAAAGUAUUUAAAUAUCAACUCUCUUUUGUUACAGCUGUGUAAGAGCCAUAUAAAAUCAAGUAACAUGUAGGAGAGAAAAGGGGUCAUGAAGGAGGAGUUUGAGCAAAAAGUAAUGCUAAAAAAGAAAAAAAAAUCCAUUGCAAAUGGUAAUGUAAAUAAGGACACAAUUGCAACAGAAUUUUCCUUGAAUCAACGGAGGACUAUUACUUGAUGAGAUCAUUGUUUUCAGACAAUGAUUUAUGGGCAGCUGGAAUUUGCAUGCAUUGCUCCGAAUCUGUGGAAGAAUCUAUGUGGUUGUUCAUGGCCUUCAGAAACAUGGAUGCUGCAAAGCAGAGCUAUGGAGAAUAUGGAAAGCAGGCUCAAAAAGCAUCUGCAAAUCUGUGCCAAUAUUAUUGCCUCUGUCAUCAAGCAAUGGAAAGGUUUUUCUAGUUAAAUUCAAGUAAUUAAAUCUCCCUGCUCUCAUUAAAAAAAAUACAACUGUCUGCUGCUGGUCUGAAGAAUUGCACAGAGUGAACGUAAAUUUUAAUUUCAUGGUGCAAGUGUUAAAUUAUUGCCAUCUAAGCUGUCUGCCAGUGUUACAUGAAAUCCCACCACAUUUUAAUAAUUCUCCCUUUGUUUUGGAUGGAAAUACCACGUGUUGUGAUUUGGAAGUUUUUAUGUGCAAUUAGAGCCCUGAGAACUACAACAUAAUCACAUUCAAUUCACCUAAUUGGACAGCGAGGAAACUGUCAUUUCUGAAAUGGUUUGUGUCUUUUGGAAUGUCUGUGUGUAUACACAUGCGUAUAAAAUGAAACAUUUUCUCACCCAUCCUGUGUUAAAAUGUAAUAGAAACUCCUGCUAACUGAAGUUGAAGAUAUAGCUGGGUGUUCUUUAGUAACCUCAAAACAUAUACGUGUGCGUGUAAAUAAAAAACUGUCCUUCUAAACACAAGGAUCCUUCCCUCCUACUUACUUUGCAACAUCUUAGUAAGGAUUUGCCAUCAAUUCCCUCUCUUUACAGUGCAUUUGAUGACAUUUUACAGAUCAUCAUACUAAAUAAGUAAGAACCAUCCUCUGAUUUAGAAGAAAAACCUUUAUUUAUUUCAAUUUAUUUUGGGAGUUCAGAAGUAAUGACAAACUUGACAAUCUUCAUGACAAACAUGACAAUCUUCACAUCACUUUAAGCUGUGUGACCAAAAAGCCAUUAGCUUCACAGAAACAGACAAUACAUUUCAUCCUGAAACAACACUUAUGAUCAACAUUUAUGCAAUCUAUAGGUACUUCCUAUAUUUGUAUCAAUGCAAGUAAGAAGACAUGGAGUAUCAAACCAGCAAGGGCUUAGAAAUAUCAAGCCCAAGAGUUUACCCAUUUACUUCAGUGGAAAAUAGUGCUAGUAAAUAUCAAUACAUAUUUUAAUCUUUUAUUUCAGUAAUUUCCAUGUAAAAGCAAACAUAUUCUGCCAACUUUAUUCAUUGUCUUUGAUCUUUUUUUGAAGCAUAUUAUGAUAGAUUUCUGAAUCUUUUAAUUCAAUGUUGAAGUAGAUAUUAAGUAUAUCACAACACCAAUCCACACUAAAUAGAACUUUUGUUUUUUGUUCUUUUGCUGAAAUGUCUGACAGUAUUUCAAGAAUAAUUUAAUUAUGAACUUUAUAUUAACAAAAGACAAGUGAUUUUUUAUUCCAUUCAGUGUGGAAUAAGAUACUACCUAUAUUUGUUAAGCCCUGUGUAUCAACCAGAAUUUGCAAAGGGAAGUUAUCAACUUCAGAUACUCAUUCUCCAUUUCCCAUAAAUAUGUUAAAAAUACAAAGUCAGCUCCUAAGUUUUUCAUCAAAUAAACUAGCUUAUUAAGAUUAAGUGGCCUGAAACCACCAUCUGUGAGUUCACAUUUAUAUCUAGAAAACCUGUAUAAUCAUGUGUAUUGAGAGUAAGGCUUAGUGUUGGAAGGCCCAACCUUGUAAACAAGCUUUGUUUACACAAGAAGACAAUAGGACUCUUCUUUUGUUUCAGAGUUUACAUGUUCAGAGGCUGAGAUCACUAUUUUUGAAAUGUGAUGAUGGGAAUACAAAGUAAUUACCUUUAUGAAGGUUUUACAAAGAAUCCUGUAAGUAAAGCCCAUGACAGAAAUAUAUAGUGUCUCCAAAGAAACAAUUAUGAUGUAUUGUGUUUGAAUAAUAACUCAGAAUGUUUUAUCAUCAUCUGUUUACAUAAUAAGUCAUAAUAACUUUUCAAAAUAUGGUGCUUGCAUUUUUAUUAUUGUUUUAAGUGUACAUAGGGGAAUUACUACAGCCUAGAAUCAUAAACUUUGUAAAACUUUGUUGAAGACUGCAUUUUUAUUCCCAUCCUCUUCUGCUCAAACAAAAAUGUAAAGGAAACAACACACAAAUAAAAGUACGCUAAAAUAAUCCCAUGUGUCUGGCUAAAAGAAAAGACAGGAAAUUCUUAAAAGUGUGGUUAUAAACUGAAAAAUGCCUUUAAACAUGGCUUCCUACUGUCUCACAUUUAUAUAUUCAUAAUUAUUUCACUAUCAAUAUUUUCUUUGCUUAUAUGUACACAAAUUACAUUAUUCAACAUGCCAAGACCACAUUCUCAGUCUGAUAUCUGGAAUACAAAGCCCUGUUGUCACUGGCUUCUACUACAGUGUUAAAGAUGGAACUGAGAGAAAUUCCUAGAUUCCCUCUCCUGGAAACUUUAUGAUUUAAGCCUACUUCUGACCUUUAGCAAUAUUUCCUUGGGGAGACUGAGGUCCAAAUUAAACUUUCAGGAAUUACAAGAGAAAUUUCAAUGAACUCUAGAGAUGCCAGAAAGACAAAUGACAAAAGUAGUUAAAGCAAAAGUGCUGAGCACGUCUUAAGUGCUUCAAUUAGAACUCUUGUUCCCCACAGGAUGUUCCAGAAAGGUGUAGAGGUGCUCACAGACCCUCACAAUGGUUUCAGACAUCUAGCCCACAAAGUAGAAUCCAAAGCCAAGAUUAGAGAGCUGUUACCUACAGAGAACAGAUGAUGUUAUGUGAGAGGACUAACAAAGUAGAAACAUUAUGGAGUUAUCUAGAAUCUAACUCAUAAUUUUGAAAGUCAGAUAAUGCCAACCUAUGUAGUUGAGGCACUCUGUCACAGUGGAAGACUGUGGUUAUUUCCAUCCACUCAGUGUCCACAGACCAUCAAGGUAAUUCAAUUUUUGUUUCAAAGGCUCCGUUUUUUUAAAAAAACAUAACCACUGUUGAAGAUGAGAUGUUAAUAAUGGAACAUAGGAUUAUUCUUAGUUCUACUAUUUACUGAAAAAUAGACAUACAAACUGUGUGGGGCAAAGACAAAGGCCAGAAUCCUGCUUGCUCCAUAAAAAUUGUUUCCUUCCUCAUUUAUCUCCUUGAAUCUUAAUGAGUUUUGCAGUUGUAGUGCACAUCUGUACAGCUAUGUAGACUAGCCUGGGACCCAGUGGGUAAGGUGUGCCUCCUCAGAAAUUAGAGUUUAAAAUACCUGAGGUCAAAGCAGAUGUAAAAAGUUGUCUCCUUCUGAAAGGUUUCCAGUUUUAUUGGCAUAUACUACGUUUGUCUGAGUGCACUUUCCAGGUCUGUGCUAUAAGCUAACACUACCAUUUAUCUUCUGGAUUCCCAGACUGUUUAAGUCAGACAGAGGUACAUGCCCGCUUCACCCUGAGCCCUUCUGCGAAUGGUCAGAAACAGAAUACUGUGUGAUCUCAAAAAGAUUCAGAGCAAACAUGGAAGACAGUUAUGUUUAAAUGACACUCUGGUUGGGCAGGCACUGAACGCAGUAACAGUUUCAACAUAGACACCUUAAACCUUCCAGUAUUCUAUUUUAGGUUUGUUCUUCAUUCUUGCAUCACAGCAGGAGUUGUACCCUUUAUCAGUGUUGAUGUCUUCUUAAAAGAGGGUCUGUGACCGCAUUUGAAGUAUCUCUACUACCAGUUGUGGUGAUUUCACCCUGAUGUGCAGCUAAACUACUACAUCAUUCUCCUGUUACUCCUACUCAAAGGAAGAGGGGGAGAAAAUGAAAUGAAAAAAGGCUCAGGGUUUGAGAUUACCGUCACUGAUCAGUGAUUAUGAGAAUAAAUAAACAUAGUGUGGAAAAAUCUUUGUAUAGUCAUUAAAAUACCCAAGUGUGGCAUUCUAGUAGAGAUUUAAUAAGGAGAAGAAACUGACCCUCAGACUUAGGAAUUCAUUUUCUUUACUUUUCUACAAGGACAGACAUACAUCUCUCUAUCUAAUUUAUAUAUACAUACGUAUAUAUAAAGCAAAGCUUUUAAAGAAUUUUUAUUUAUCAUUGUAAAAUCUCUACUUAGAAUUGGAAAGAGAUAGAAAAAAAAAAAGUAGACUUUGAUUAUCACCUUGAUACAUCUAAGUGUUUACAGUGGGAGCUAAGCUGUAGCAUAGCAAUGUAAUAAAAAUAGAAAGUAAAGUGACGUAAAAAGUGCACUGAGGACUACCUUAUAACUAAUUCCAAACGUUCAAGAAUAGUAAAUGGUUAACAGUGAUGCAAAAGGAAAUUACAGAAAAAACAAUCAAAAAGGACUCCUAAACAAUGAAAGGAAACAAAAAAUUAAUAAAGCAGAAGACUGAAAAACAGAUAAGGAGAGCAAAACGGUGAAAGAUUUCACAGAAGAUUAUGAAAUUAGCACAAAAAAUUUUUAAACAAUCCUAAGAAUAAACUGUCAUUGAAGAACAGAAUAGGGAUUGUGGAGGAUCAUUUUUUAAGGGAUGAGGUAAAAAAAGAUGGAAAAUUUAAACAAAUUCUUCGCAUAGCUGUUCAGAAAGAAAUGUCAGCUCGCAGAGCUGUAGAAAUAUAGGUACAUAUUUUCUGGAGCAAAAGGAAGGAUAAAACACCUAAGUAAACACACACUGUAUGUGACAUAGUACAGAUGACAAUCUUAGCAUGUAUCACAUAAAAUAAUUUCUCAGUGCUAAAGCAUAUGCACUUCAGAAUUCACAGAAAGGGACAAAAAACAGCAUCACUCUUCACAAGACUAAUUUACAUCACUUCACCAUUCAGAUAACUUUUCCUUUUCAAAAUGUUGCUUUGAAGUCACAUGGGCUACUUACAUGACUGACAACUCUAGGACUGCAGUGAAAAAGAAGUUUCAGUGGAAUUAAAGAAAAAGUAACGGGAAGUGUGCAGGAGGUAUCUGUGCAAAGAAGGGCCCCAUGCAACUCCUCUCACAGCUUGCCUCUAAAAACUCAAGAACUGGGUUUAAAUGAGAGAAACACCUUGUCUUUCUGGCAAGUUUUAGCAAUGCCUUCUAUGCAGGAAAGCAAUUUGCUUCAAGACCAAACAGAAAUGCACACUGGUUAAGAGUGAUAUAUUACAAAAACAACAGAGUAUAGCUAAAUUCAGCAAAUUAUGAAGCAAUGGCUAUUUCAGUGAGAGUCAGAGAUUCGUCUAAUGAGAUCCAGGAGUUUCAGCUCUGAACAAAAAGUGAUGAAUUCAAGCUUAAAUUCCUACAAGUAACCCCUAUUCUACAUUAAAGGUAACCAUCCAUCACAUUUUUAACUACAUCUACAAGGGAGUUCAGUAACUUCAGUCUAAAAAAUUCAAAACACAGACAUAUUUUCAGCCAAAACAAAGCCAGAGCCAGCAGUAAUUUUAAUUCUUUUCACUAAGUAUUGUUCUGGCCAUAAGACUAUGUGUAAAAUGGAUGUGGUUGAAGCCACAAUGGACUGUAAGGUUUAUAGGAUGAACAAGUUGCUAAGGAAGAGCUUGCAUGCCUAAAAACUUACAUUAUUCCAGCUGGAGUGCAUCCUGUAACAACAGUACUUCUUUAUUCUUCCAUAUCUUCCCUAAAAAGCUGAGCGCUCUGGCUGAAGACAGGCCAGGAGAGGCGCAUGGAUGUUUGCCUUCUUCAUGUUGCCUGAAAACCUAGUCCUUGUCUCAUCUGGGAACAGGACAGUCAUGCCAAGUGGAUGCAUCUCCCUGCAUCUGUGGAGAGACAGCAAAUGUGCUGUCUGGAAAGUAUCUGUGUUCUAGGAGGUGAGAAACUGGCUUGGGCUGUUUGAUUUCACUUCUACUCAGAGAAAUGGGGCAAUGAACUUUCUAAUAAACAGGUUUGGUUCACAGAGGGAUGACUCCACCAUCGAUCAUUCCACCAGAGGAAUAACUCAAGAUUCGAAAAUUUUAACCAGAUAAUUUUAUCAAAAGAAUAAUAAAAAAAAAAAAAAAAAAAAAAAAAAAAAAAGGACCAAGUAAUGACUUAAAACAAUUGCUGUGAUAUUACAUCUACAUAGGAUCUACUGGCCUAUAUGUCAGUUUUAAUCUGCCACUGGUUAAAUCCUACAUACUGAGCAAAAUAACUUACCAACACAAUACAUGCAAAGUAAAUAAAUACUCAAGCAACACUCUAUGUCCCACAUCCACUCAGAUACCAGAAGUGUGUAUUUCCAGUCUGUGAAAUACAAUGAUAAGUAAAAACAGUGAUUCUCCAUGAGUGCAUUACUCAGAAGAAGCAAUGUUAAGGCAGUCAGUGUGAUCUUUAAAAAUCACUCCCAGUAAAUAAAUAAAUAAGCACCUCUACCUGCACAGCUAUCUGAAGACAAGUUAACAAAUUCUGUUUUCCACUUAUUAGCAAAUCAGUUGUUCUGUAAAGAAUACAUGAUCAAAACCUACAGCAACAGCUGGCACAUGUAUAAAGCGGGGCAAAAAAAUUAAGAUGAAGUAUUUCUGACAAAAAAAUAUAUGAAACAAAACAAAGUUGAAAACUGAAGCAGAUAUCAGAUAACCAUUUUGUCAUUUAUAAAAUACUUUUUCAGGACAAAAGGGGUUGCCAUACCUUUUCACUCAGCAUAUCCUCAGAGUCACAUAUUAAGCUGAUCAAAUCCGAGGGUACUGCAGUAAGCUGAAGCUUGAAGCUGCCUCCACUUCCUUCAUUUCGUUUACAGUUUUGUUUGGGGGUUGUUCUUUUUUUUCUUUUUAGCUUGCAGAAACCUGAGGGAAAAAAUAUUUUGGGGGUUACUAUCGAAAUAGUUUAUUCAGUAGUCAAUUAACUGAAAAAAACAAAUAGUUCUAAACUGAUCUCUUAUAUACCAUGCCCCUUUUUAUAUCAUAGUUAUUGGUUCCAUUCUGUUGUUAUAUUUUACUGAAAACAUUAUGAAUAUAAAUGAGAAUAGUGCACAAAGAGCAGAGGUGAAGAUAUGUCCCAUUAGAAAUCUGCUUUUUUACUUACAUUUACUGAGGUUAUCAAGUACCUCUUUAUGAACUCUUCAUCCCUUUCUAAAAGGUAAAGUUGAAAUUGGGAAAUAUAUUGCAUCAGUUAUUGGGCAUUCUGGGGUUUUCCAUUAUUUUAAAAACCUCCUAUGUGCCUAAUUAUAGCUAAUAAGUACUGUUUAGAAACAUAGCAGAGAACUCAUGAUUUCCUUCUUCACCCAAUGCCCAGAAAAUCCAUGUCCGAGAACAAAAUCUUGAAGGUAUUUGUGAUCAUGACCCAUUCUCAUUAUCUGUAUCCAUUCUAAGAUUUUUAUAUUAUAUGAAUGAAUAUUUUAAAGUGAAAUUAUAGUAUUCAAUGGCAAAUUACAACUACAUGUGACCAAGAGAGGAUUAAACCCAUCAUUUUGCUUAAGAGCUCUGAUGGCUGGAGUAAUUGGAUGAUAGCUGUAGGGCAUCUUUUUGGUCUGUAAUUAGGUCAUUUCUUUCUCAUCCCUUCACUGUGUGUAUAAUUACGAAUUAAUUUGAAAUCCCACUGUGAGUAAAGAAAGUCAGUUUAAUAUAACGGAAGUGCAAAAGCCACAAUAUAUUACUUUUUAAAAACUGCUUAUUUCAAAAUACUCAGUCUGGCCAAAAGUUAUAUCCCUAUGUACUGCAAGGCUUAUAUUUGGUUUCUUUGCUAACUUUGUACAAGUGCUGCUCUGAAAGUAAUGCCUCCUGUUUUAUUAUGUUGGUGUGCAAUGUCAGAGGUGGAUUUUGGUGGUACAUCAGGAGAGGUUGAACCUUCACACCAGUAUUCCACUACAUUUUGUUGCUGUGUGACAGAUGGCAGCAGAGGGUCAGUCUGACAAAAUGGCUUCUGACACGGAAGCAUCUGAGAAGAAAAGAUGUGGAACUGAAUUCCUCCAUGUGGUAAAAAAAUUGCAUCCAUUGACUUUCACUGAUGCUUGCUGAACAUUUAUGGAGAUCAAACAGUGGAUGUGAGCUCAGUGAGGUUGUGGGUAAUGUGUUUCAACAGCAGUGAUAGUGGCAGUGGUUCACCUCCACCGGUGCAAAUUUUUACAAGAACAGCAAGCAGGUUCUCGUUCAUCGUUGGCAAAAAUGCAUAGCUAAUGACAGUGAAUAUGCAGCAAAAUAAAGUUUGUAUUUGAGAAUUUUCUCUAUGAAAUAGUGUUAUUGUGCUCUUUGUAUUUGUUGCAGUUUCUAUGGAAAUAAACAGCAAGUAUUACUUUUGAAUCAAUCUACGUUCCUGGAUGUAUUUUCUCUCUUAAAAUAAAUGAAUUUUCAAAGCACCACACUUUGCUCCAGUAUCUGUCAGUAGGUGUCAACAGCACAAAAAGGUAGUGGAAAGAAAUAAAAAGUAACCAUGAGAGUCUUGACAGACAGUAUUAGCAUCAGAGAACUUAGAGGCCACUCUCAACACAGUCAACCAUUUUAUCCUUUAGUCCUGCCAUUAUUUCCUUCCACUGAAACUACCUUUCUGCUUUUACCCUGAAAGUGUUAAACACUGCACAACCCUAACUAGCAUACCUGCUACUAUGUGCAUCAGGAGCUCACCAUUUCAUCAUCUGGCUGAGAUAUGCUGCUGGCAAGUUCUGCUUCCCUUCCUUUAUCACAACAUUGUGGUCGGAUGCAUCAGACCUCCCUCCCGCCUUAGCAAUGAUACAGGUAAAAACAUGCAUUUCUGACAAAUGGAUAACCCCAAGCAGAUCUGUGGAGACAAUGUUUUGACUUGCUGAACUUCCUGUUUCAUUCUGUUUUCAUCUGUCCCCAGAAACCUUGAAAGGGGUCGGUGAGAGGGUCCCAGGUGUGAUCUGAGCACCAGUGAUGUCAACAGCGAGCCAGGGGCUGUGCAGGGUGUGAAGUUAAAGGGAAGAGCAGAGAAAAGACUGUUGGUGCAGAGAACAAGGGUACUGAGAUUUGACUGUAUUUGUAGCUGUGCUGUAAAAAACUGUAAAACAUCCCAUGCCGUUAGCAUAAGAUUAGAUUUCUGCCAGGAAAAAAAAAAAAAAAAAGAGAGAGAGAGAGAGAACAAAAAGAAAUGGAACUGCUUAGAUAUAAGUUCCAAAGUUCAUUAAGAGGGUUCUUUUCUGCAUAGCUCCAAAGCUAAGAUGUGCUAAGGCAUGUAGAAAAAUAAGGAGGUGUUAAAAACCUACCCAACUUCUUAGCUUUCAAAAAAAGUUCAAAGUCCUAGUCAUCGAUUAUUUACAUGGUGACCUCCAGGCCUAUUUGUGAUGCCAAAAAAAUUGUACUCAGGAAGGAAGGAAGACAUUAUCAAAAAGGAAAGAAUUUCUGUUUAAUCUAAUAAUGCCUUUAUAAAAAUAACCAUUUUCUUUUACAUAUAAUAAAAAAUUCAUUAGAAAAUCUCAACAUAUUUUUAUAUAAAAAUAAUAACUGGCAACAUAGCUAGAAAUAAGAAGCAGAGAAAGAAACUUGGAUGCAUUUCUUGCUUGCAAGAGCAUGAUGAGGAAAUAAGGUAAUCUAGUCUUCCCAUUCUGAACAAAAUAGACAUGAUAACAGAAUAUAUAAAUCAAGACAUUUUUGGAGAAAUAAUGUCACUCCAUAAUUUUUGAAAGUAGAAAUAAUUUAAAAUUCAUGCAUGAAACUAAAUAGGUAAAAUAUGUCAUUUUGAAAUAACAUAACAGUAAAAAUAAUUUGUAAAACUUUUUUUGUUUUUUAACUGAGUCUCAUUUUAUACUUGGAAAAUUUUCUUUAGAAAAUUUUCAACCUCUUCUAUGUAGCUCCUGGGUAAAUAUGGAGGUUUUAUGGAAACCAAACAAAUGAAUUAAAUGACUACAAGAAUUAUUGGCUCUAAAUAUAUACAUUUUCUUCUGAUGCUACUAGAAUGUUACUAGUAUAUACUGUAUGAAUUAUAAAAAAUGUUAUGACAGAUAUGGAAGUAAUAUACUUCGGUGAUAAAUCUUCAAUAGAAAGAAUUUAUUAGAGUCAUAUAGAUCUACU